UACGGGGGGGGCAAGCGUUGUUCGGAAUUACUGGGCGUAAAGGGCUCGUAGGCGGCCAACUAAGUCAGACGUGAAAUCCCUCGGCUUACCCGGGGAACUGCGUCUGAUACUGGAUGGCUUGAGAUUGGGAGAGGGAUGCGGAAUUCCAGGUGUAGCGGUGAAAUGCGUAGAUAUCUGGAGGAACACCGGUGGCGAAGGCGGCAUCCUGGACCAACACUGACGCUGAGGAGCGAAAGCCAGGGGAGCAAACGGG
rnacentral:rRNA from 1 species